rnacentral:rRNA from 1 species
CCUACGGGUGGCAGCAGUGGGGAAUAUUGGACAAUGGGGGCAACCCUGAUCCAGCCAUGCCGCGUGUGUGAAGAAGGCCCUCGGGUUGUAAAGCACUUUCAGUGAGGAAGAACGCCUGGUGGUUAAUACCCAUCAGGAAAGACAUCACUCACAGAAGAAGCACCGGCUAACUCCGUGCCAGCAGCCGCGGUAAUACGGAGGGUGCGAGCGUUAAUCGGAAUUACUGGGCGUAAAGCGCGCGUAGGUGGCUUGAUAAGCCGGUUGUGAAAGCCCCGGGCUCAACCGGGGAACGGCAUCCGGAACUGUCAAGCUAGAGUGCAGGAGAGGAAGGUAGAAUUCCCGGUGUAGCGGUGAAAUGCGUAGAGAUCGGGAGGAAUACCAGUGGCGAAGGCGGCCUUCUGGACUGACACUGACACUGAGGUGCGAAAGCGUGGGUAGCAAACAGGAUUAGAUACCCUAGUAGUC